GACGAACGCUGGCGGCGUGCUUAACACAUGCAAGUCGAGCGGAGCGGCGAACGGGUGAGUAACGCGUGAGUAACUGCCCCCCUCUCUGGGAUAACAGUUGGAAACGGCUGCUAAUACCGGAUAGUGGGGGAUGACUCGCGUCCUAUUAGCUUGUUGGUGGGGUAGUGGGCUACCAAGGCGACGACGGGUAGCCGGCCUGAGAGGGCGACCGGCCACAUUGGGCUGAGGUACGGGCCAAGCUCCUACGGGAGGCAGCGGUGGGGAAUAUUGCACAAUGGGGGAAACCCUGAUGCAGAAACGCCGGGUGCGGAAUGACGGCCUUCGGGUUGUGAACGGCUUGCGGCCAUGACGCGGUAGUGGCAGAAGAAGCACCGGCUAACUACGUGCCAGCAGCCGCGGUAAUUC
rnacentral:rRNA from 1 species